rnacentral:lncRNA from 1 species
UAUAAUACAGAGAUUUCUCUAGUGAUAAAAAGGGAUCUCUGGAUGGAGCAAAGCAGGGAAGACUAACUGUGUUCAACUGGAGACUUGUUUGCUAAGAAAUACACGUGAAAGCAGUUUUCUUUUGUUUUUCACACCAUUGGCAAAUGCUCU